UCUCUCUCUUCCCCCACCCCCACAUUGUUGAUGUUCAGAGGUUCUGCGUGUGUGUAAAAUUUUCACACUUUCUCCCAGUUAAUUCAUUCACAUAUCGAAAGAGGCUAAAAAUUGAAUUCAGGAUAAAGGAUAACAAGGUAACAGAAAACCGCUGUUAAUUGCUAAUUGAAGCUUGGCAAUCGCGGGUUUCUCUCUGACCUAGGGUUUGGCUGGAAAUUGGAGUCAAAUCUACACUUUUGGUUGAUUUUGAUAAGUAUCUGUGGUUUUUAGAAUCUGGGUAUUUCCAAUUUGUGCCAAGACUGCAUUUUUAUGCAUGCAUGUUUGCUUCUGUGUUGAACUAUCCGGGGGUUUUGUGAAAUAGUCAUUGGAAGUUUUAUUCUGUGGGGUUUAAAGAGAAAAGUGAUGAUUCUGGGGUUUUGAGGGGUGCGUCUGUAAUGGGUAGUACAGGCGAAGCUGACAAGAAACGGCGUCAUGUUAGCUCCUUAUCGCCCACUGCCGCCAUGGCCAAGAAGCGUCAUCUGGCGGCGCUAUCUGAGGAGAAAAAGCUCGACGCAGCAGUGCUUCAAUUUCAAAAUCAAAAACUCGUACAGAAGCUGGAAACUCAGAAGGUUGAGAUUAAUGCCCUUGAGGACAGAUUGUGUCAGUUGAGGGAUAAACAACAUUCAUAUCAUAAAACUUUAGCUGAGGUUGACAAUUCGUGGAAAGAGCUGGUUGAUCACUUGGCGUCACAUUCUAACUGCACACUAGAAAAUACAAAAGAUGUUCGAGGUUUUGGACGCCACCUAGCAAAAGAAGAUUGUGAUUCGCCACCAGAGGAUACUUUACUGAGCCGGCUCUUAGAAACUGGUGCAACCGAAAGUAGUUCAGCCAGUACAUUAAUGAAUCCACCUGAAGAAGAGAAAAAAAUAAAUGGUGAAAUGACAGAGAAAUUAGAGAUUAUACUCAAGAAUAUAAUAGCUUCUUUUGAUGAUUUGAACAAUUUGAAGAGUAUAUUGUACGCGGCAUCUCUGAAGACACUCUCUUCUAAUGGACAGAGCCAGAAGGUGGUUUCUUCUGAUUUGCUAACCGAGGUUAGAAAUAUGAGGAUGGCAACCUUGAAGCUCCACUUGAAGCAUAAAUCGUUGGCCGGUGAGCUGCAAAUACAUAGAGACACCGAUGCGAAGAAUAAAGCUGAUCUGAAGCGUUUGAAAGGAGAACUAGAAACUACAAUUUGUGAACUGGAAGAAAGCAACCAUAAGUUGGCGGUUAUAAAAGCAGAAAGAGAUGUGGCAAAGGGAGCAUCUUUCCCUGUUCUAAAUCAAGGGAAUAGACAGGCAACGAAUGAUAAAGUAAGGGACAAAGAAAGAGACUUGGAAGAUAUGGAGUCAACCCUGAAGGAACUAUUGGAGCAAUCAUCAUCUCGACUAGAAGAGCUCAAGCGUUUUCAUGAAGAUAGGCUGAACACAUUAAGAAACUUAUCAAAUUUGCAGAGCAACUUGAAGAAUGUUCACUGCAUUUGUUCAUCCCAAGCAUAUAUUUUACUGAAAGAUCAAUUGACAAAGGCUAAAGCAGAUGUAGUUGAAUAUCAAGCCCUUUAUGAGAAAUUGCAGGUUGAGAAAGAGAGUCUAUACUGGCGGGAAAAAGAAAGUUUCAUGAAAAAUGAAUUAGUUGAUGUGCUUCAGCAAUCUUCAGCUGUUGCUAACUCCAGAAUAAGUGACUUGGAAGCAGAGAUAGAGAGAUACAACAAAGAAAAGGAUUUAAUUGAGGUCAAGCUGGACGAAGCAUCUAAAGAACCUGGCAGGAAAGAGAUUAUUGCGGAGUUUAAAGUUUUGGUUUCAUCAUUUCCUGAGAAAAUGGGCCGCAUGCAAAAUCAGUUAGCUAAACACAAGGAGACUGCUGCAGACAUUCACAGUUUGCGAGCUGAUGUUGAAUCACUGACUAAUAUUCUCAACUGCAAGGCUAAGGAGUUGGAGACUUUGACUUCCAGAUCAGCGCAGCAAAAUGCUGAAAUUCAGAGACUACAAGCAGUGAUCAGUGAUUUAAAGGCGACAGUUACAGACUUGAAGCUCUUCCUAGAAAUGUAUGGGCACCAAUCGGUUGAUUCAAGGGAUGUUAGUGCAGCUAGAAGUGCCGAGAUAAAGGCAUGGGCUCAAGUUCAAGGCCUUAAAUCCUCCCUUGACGAGCGUAAUCUGGAGUUGCGAGUUAAAGUUGCAAUUGAAGCAGAAGCAAAAGCCCAGCAGAAAUUAGCUGCUUCGGAGGCUGAGAUUGCUGAGCUGAGACAGAAGUUAGAGUCUUCUAAGAGCAGGGAAAAAUCAAGCCUUUCUGAUGGCUUAAAAUCCAAGCAUGAAGAGACCGAGUCCUACCUGGUUGAGAUAGAGACUAUUGGGCAGGCGUAUGAUGAUAUGCAGAGCCAGAACCAGCAGCUUUUGCAACAAAUCACCGAGAGAGAUGACUAUAAUGUUAAGCUUGUUUUAGAAGGCGUGCAUUCAAGACAGAUAGGAGAUGCUCUGCUUAUGGAGAAGAGAAUGUUGGAUAAAUCUGUACAACAGACCAAGAAAACUGUAGAUUUUUAUAACUUUAAGGCUAGCCGAAUUGAAGACCAGUUGAAGGGGUACUCAGAUCAGAGACAGAGGCUUGCAGAAGAUAGAGCCCACAAUGCUGCUGCUUUGGAAGGCACUCAAAGAAGACUGUUAGAUGUGAGGAAAACUUCUCAACUACUGAUGGGAACAGUUGAAGAAGCACAGGCGCAGGUUGAUAGGAGUAGGGUGUCUCUUACUGAGAUGCAGAUAGAACUAGAGAAAGAAAGGUUUGAGAGAAAAAGAGUUGAGGAAGAUCUAGAUAAUCUAAGGAAGAAGGGUCAACAACUAAAAUCCCAAGUUGAGGGCUCCUCUGUAAUUGAAAAGCUCAAAGAGGAACUCAGGGAAUACAAGGAAAUUCUGAAGUGCAGUGUCUGCCUUGACAGAAGGAAAGAGGUGGUCAUCACAAAAUGUUAUCAUCUGUUUUGCAAUGCUUGCCUUCAGAGAAUAAUUGAAACACGCCGUCGUAAGUGCCCAGUUUGUGCGGCAAGUUUUGGCAUCAAUGAUGUCAAACCUGUAUACAUCUGAUCAUUAUGGUUCCUGGCACCAAUGCAUAUGUGUACCAGGUCCGUGUGCACCUAGAAGUUCACUCUGACGAUGAUGUUUCACAUGUACUAUAUAAUACUUUUUGCUCUGCUGAAUCCAAGAAAAGACCACAUCGCAACUGAUAGAGUUUUAAAGAUCUGCAUGUGUGUGUUGUGUGCUUGACUGAUCGUUUGUGAGACAGAGACGGACAUGCAUCUUCUUCAUCAAUAUCCUUAUUAUCAUGGUAAAGUGGGUUCCGUCGCUGUUAUAAGAUUAAAGGCAUGGAAUGUUCUAGAUUGAACUCAUGAAGUGACUUAAGCUGAAGAAGUACAUGAGCUUGGUGGCUAUUGUCCGUCCCAACUCCUCUGGGCCAAUGUGUAUAUUAUUGGAGUGAGAUUGAGCUCUUACAGUUUGGGACCAGAUGAUAAGUUGGAGGUACAUCAUGUCAUUUUCAUUCCAAGACUAUAUGGUAAGGAUCCAACCACGAAUUUCUGAUGUGUGUGUUGCUUUCCCAGACCGUACACGUUCAAUAAAUGAGUAGAUAUUAUUAUUAGGUUUAGCUUGGAGAAGAUAAUGUUAAUCUUGGUGGCUCCAAAUGGUGAAUGGGUGUUGAGAGAGGAGAGCCCCCCUCUCCAAAACAUGUCAAACUGACAAAAAUGUCUUCAUAUAUUUGGAGAACGAAAAGUUGUGAUUCAUGUUUGUGAUCAUGAUUGGUUGGGGUCUGAUGAAUUCUUGACUGUUGAUUUAGGCGAUUGAUAGAAUCUCAUCUCAUAUAUCCUUCCCAUCCUCCUUGAAAGUUAUGGUGAUCAACACCUUCGUUUUGAAUCACAGUCGAUUAAAUGCAUGUAUGUAGUUGGAAUUCUGAGUUAGGGGCAAGCUUAAUGCAAGUAAAAUUGUCUGAAUCACUUGAGAUAUUUUUUUAUGUAAUUUGGUGAAUUUCUAGUAGCAUGUUGUUGUGUGCCCACAUGGAUAUUGAUUGAUUGAAAUUCACUGAUGCCAACAUUGCUCUCGGUUGCUGCGAAAA